rnacentral:rRNA from 1 species
AUUGAACGCUGGCGGCAGGCCUAACACAUGCAAGUCGAACGAGUGGCGGACGGGUGAGUAAUGUCUGGGAAACUGCCUGAUGGAGGGGGAUAACUACUGGAAAAGGUAGCUAAUACCGCAUACCAUCGGAUGUGCCCAGAUGGGAUUAGCUAGUAGGUGGGGUAACGGCUCACCUAGGCGACGAUCCCUAGCUGGUCUGAGAGGAUGACCAGCCAAACUGGAACUGUGACACGGUCCAGACUCCUACGGGAGGCAGCAGUGGGGAUGAUUGCACGAUGGGCGCAAGCCUGAUGCAGCCAUGCCGCGUGUAUGAAGAAGGCCUUCGGGUUGUAAAGUACUUUCAGCGGGGGGGCGUUACCCGCAGGAGAAGCACCGGCUAACUCCGUGCCAGCCGCCGCGGUAAUUC